GUGCCAGCCGCCGCGGUAAUACGGAGGGUGCAAGCGUUGUCCGGAAUCACUGGGCGUAAAGGGUGCGCAGGCGGGGCAGCAAGUCGGAGGUGAAAGCCCGUGGCUCAACCACGGAAGUGCCUUCGAAACUGUUGCUCUUGAGUCCCGGAGAGGUUGCCGGAAUUCGUGGUGUAGCGGUGAAAUGCGUAGAUAUCACGAGGAACACCAGAGGCGAAAGCGGGCAACUGGACGGGUACUGACGCUCAGGCACGAAAGCGCGGGGAGCAAACAGGAUUAGAUACCCGAGUAGUCC
rnacentral:rRNA from 1 species